rnacentral:rRNA from 1 species
UACGAAGGUCCCAAGCGUUAUCCGGAUUUAUUGGGUUUAAAGGGUGCGUAGGCGGGUUAUUAAGUCAGUGGUGAAAGCCUACAGCUUAACUGUAGAAUUGCCAUUGAUACUGAUGAUCUUGAGUAUGAUUGAGGUGGGCGGAAUGUGUCAUGUAGCGGUGAAAUGCUUAGAUAUGACACAGAACACCGAUUGCGAAGGCAGCUCACUAAGUCAUAACUGACGCUGAUGCACGAAAGCGUGGGGAGCAAACAGG